CCGCCGCUAGAGGAGGGCGGCUCCGAGCCAUCGCCGUCGCGCCCCUCCCCUCGACCUACCCAACGUUUCCCACACAAUCCGCUGCCUCCUCUCCUCCCCAAUCCCCUACUCUCUUUCUCAUCCAAUCGCCAAUCCCCUUCUCUCUUCCUCACCCAAAUUCGCCCGAACGGCGAGCAGGCGGAGCCGUAGGGGAUGGCAACGGUGGCGUGCGUGAGGAGGCGCCGCAGGAGCGUGUCCUGGAGGAGUCCGUCCGCGCAGAGGGUGCCCAGCGGUGCGGGAGGCGAGAUAAAUUUCCCCUCUCCCUCCGCCUCUCCUCUGUUCGUCCUCUUGCUCGUACGUGAUGGCGCGCCCAUAAUCCGUCAGAAAGCAGAGAGGGGCGAUUGAUUCAGCUAGCAGCAGCACGGGACCGGCCAGCAGCCUGUUUUUUUGGAGAAGGUCGAGUCACACCGGAGGUGAGAGUCGAAUUUGGCGAGGCGUGGCGAGAUACGUGUGCCUAGAUGCGGUAGGAGCCUUGAAGUAGGAGGCGAUUUGGUCGCCGCUGAGGGCAUCGGUGCCGGCAUGACGACCUCGCGGUGAAGAGCUCCAUGCGGCUCCUCCAUCUGCUACCAUGGAAACUAUGGCUUCUGUGCUUCAGCUCACCCCUUGCUUGUUCGCCUUUUGUGUUGUCCACUUCCAGAACGAUGGCGACACGACGAACGGACCGGCAAUUUGGUGAACAUGAAGAGGUGUGUGCAGGUUGUCUUUCUGGAGGAUUGGGUUAGUUAAAUAGCCGGUGAUCUUUAUUGUGAGAUGAAAUACCUGAUUGCAGUGGCCACUGGUCAGGCACAUGAUCACUUUCCAGUGAACGAUGUCGUGCAAAUGUUGAUGUUCACCUCUGACCAACAAUUUCUCAAGUACAUAUCAGUGUAAAGAUUCUUUUAUCUUGUCUUCUGUCUCUAUCAUUCUUUCUAAAUUGGGUUUCCUUGGUAAAUAAGAACAAUCAAGGACCUAUCUUCUCCAUGAUGAAAAGCCUAUUUUAGCACCUCUUGAUUAGUGUUUUAUUUCUUCUGGAGAAUUUUACACAUUGUUGUAAAAAAAUAUCUAAAAUAUAAAGAUGAAUAUUUAUGGAACAUUUUAUUAGUAAUGAUGGACUUCCAUUGCUUUAUUAUAUGUCAUAUGGGUCUGGCUCAUGCGGCCCUUCAGCCUCACCUAACACAUGACCCUCUUCGUUCCGUGUGGCGCCAUGUGGUAACGAUAUUAGUACAUGCUUAGUUUUUUUCUGCCGCUUUCUAUUUACCUUGAAGCUGUUGUGGCCAGCGGAUGGCCAGCAGUAGCCACCGCUGCAGUCCCGCUACCGCCGAGAGUAAGUUGCUAGGUUUGCACAAUUUUUUAAAUCCCAACUACUAUGACGGCAUGCUAAUAUUAGUUAAUUUUUAAAAUUCUUAAAUAGGCUCAAUUCUUCUUGUUUUCUAAUGUUCCAAGAAUGAAAAAAUUGACGUUAGUAUGUUCUCAAUUCUCAUUUUGACCAUAUCUAAUAAAGAAUUGAAGACAUGCGUUUGGUAAAGUUUAUGAUAUUCUAGGUAUGGUUGACUGUCCUAGCUGUGGCUUGCUCACAUUGAUACUCGCAUAGUGUUACAAUCUGUGUCAAAAACACUUGGUUGCACUUGAAUGUGCUAAUUCUAGGGUAAAAAUACUGAAACUGCUAAGCAUGAGGUAGCAGCAGGUAGUAGUAGCCAUAUUCACCGGAUAGUGGUUAUUUUCCAGGUAAAGUGUAGAUACUAGAGAUAUGGGAUGCCCUAUUUUUAUCAUCGUUAUAGUCACUUCAUGCUGCCGGGAAUUUGUUUCUCUUAUUCUAAGGGGUAAGAUUUUAAAGAGCAGUUAGGGCAUUAUUAGUAACCGCAUGGUGUUUUCGUGUUCAGGAAAAACAACUGCCAUAUACUAUCACAGUUAAAUUUAAAAAUGCUAUGAUGAUAAUGGACCCCAUAUAUGGUGAUUUAGUGUUCAGGAAAAACAAUUGCCACGGUAAUUAAUAGAAAGCACGAACUUCUUAGGUUUUUCAUUGCUCGGGGUUACCAGCUUGUUGCUGCCUUGGUGCUAUUGUUGUUCCCAGUACUUUCUAUAAACUUACAGUAUAUAUUUAUUUUGGACUAUUGGUUGUAUUUUUAUUUUGUUGGCAAUAAAUCAUCUGUUUACAUGUCACAUGACCAUGUCACUACCUUCUAAACAUUUUCCCACUCCCAAGCAAUCUUACCUAUUUAUUGAUAUCUGAUCCCUUUUUC